rnacentral:rRNA from 1 species
UACACAUGCAGUCGAGCGGAGAUGAGGUGCUUGCACCUUAUCUUAGCGGCGGACGGGUGAGUAAUGCUUAGGAAUCUGCCUAUUAGUGGGGGACAACAUUCCGAAAGGAAUGCUAAUACCGCAUACGCCCUACGGGGGAAAGCAGGGGAUCUUCGGACCUUGCGCUAAUAGAUGAGCCUAAGUCGGAUUAGCUAGUUGGUGGGGUAAAGGCCUACCAAGGCGACGAUCUGUAGCGGGUCUGAGAGGAUGAUCCGCCACACUGGGACUGAGACACGGCCCAGACUCCUACGGGAGGCAGCAGUGGGGAAUAUUGGACAAUGGGCGGAAGCCUGAUCCAGCCAUGCCGCGUGUGUGAAGAAGGCCUUUUGGUUGUAAAGCACUUUAAGCGAGGAGGAGGCUACUUAGAUUAAUACUCUAGGAUAGUGGACGUUACUCGCAGAAUAAGCACCGGCUAACUCUGUGCCAGCAGCCGCGGUAAUACAGAGGGUGCGAGCGUUAAUCGGAUUUACUGGGCGUAAAGCGUGCGUAGGCGGCUGAUUAAGUCGGAUGUGAAAUCCCUGAGCUUAACUUAGGAAUUGCAUUCGAUACUGGUCAGCUAGAGUAUGGGAGAGGAUGGUAGAAUUCCAGGUGUAGCGGUGAAAUGCGUAGAGAUCUGGAGGAAUACCGAUGGCGAAAGGCAGCCAUCUGGCCUAAUACUGACGCUGAGGUACGAAAGCAUGGGGAGCAAACAGGAUUAGAUACCCUGGUAGU